GUCUGCAACUCGAGUGCAUGAAGCUGGAAUCGCUAGUAAUCGCGGAUCAGAAUGCCGCGGUGAAUACGUUCCCGGGUCUUGUACACACCGCCCGUCACACCAUGGGAGUCGGGAAUGCCCGAAGCCGGUGGCCCAAUCGAGAGAAGGGAGCCGUCGAAGGCAGGCCGGAUGACUGGGGUGAAGUCGUAACAAGGUAUC
rnacentral:rRNA from 1 species